rnacentral:rRNA from 1 species
GACGAACGCUGGCGGCGUGCUUAACACAUGCAAGUCGUACGGUAAGGCCCUUUCGGGGGUACACGAGUGGCGAACGGGUGAGUAACACGUGAGUAACCUGCCCACAACUUUGGGAUAACGCUAGGAAACUGGUGCUAAUACUGGAUAUGUGCUCCUGCUGCAUGGUGGGGGUUGGAAAGCUCCGGCGGUUGUGGAUGGACUCGCGGCCUAUCAGCUUGUUGGUGGGGUAGUGGCCUACCAAGGCGGCGACAGGUAGCCGGCCUGAGAGGGUGACCGGCCACAUUGGGACUGAGAUACGGCCCAGACUCCUACGGGAGGCAGCAGUGGGGAAUAUUGCACAAUGGGCGCAAGCCUGAUGCAGCAACGCCGCGUGCGGGAUGACGGCCUUCGGGUUGUAAACCGCUUUCAGCAGGGACGAAGCUUUUUGUGACGGUACCUGCAGAAGAAGCACCGGCUAACUACGUG